rnacentral:lncRNA from 1 species
AGCUUGGAGCCCAGUGUUUAAGCCGUAGGAUUUGGCAAACCCUACAACCAAGCUGGUUCCCUGGCUCAUGUCUGGGCUACAUAUAUACCAAGAUUUCUGGAGAUGACUGCACACUCAUCAGAUAAAUUCAGGAUGUGGUUGUAAACUCCAUGGCUAUUUCAACUGUGAGAUAACUGGAGGAACACCAAAAUACUCAAACUGUUCCUGAAAUUGGCUGCACAGCUGAUUUAAAGAAGAGAUAUACGGAGGUGAACUCAGUCUUACGUUUGCAGCGCAAGCGUAACAUUUAAAGAAUCCACCACGUUCUUCUGUUCAGACAAGAUACCUGGUCAGUUAUUCUCUAUCAGGAAAAGCGGUCAUGAUGUCCUUCUCAAUAUCCAUUCUCUUUAUGAAGUUAUUUCUCAAAGAUAUGACAUUCACACAAUUGCUGGACAACUAGACCAGUGACAUGGCGAUUUUCACCAAAAUAUGUGGUUAUAUGUUUGUCAGAUAAAACAUCCUUUAGUUGUGUUGGCAACAAAGAAGUCAUCUGCAAAAGCAUGGACACUCUGUUGAAGAAAGUGUAAGGGAC